GCGGGGCGGGGGCUCGGACCCCGGGCUCCAGCCGGCACCGGAAACGCGCUGUGGUCCGCAAGACCCACAGGAAGUGUGUAACGACACCUCCUACGACGCACACCGAGUUCGUGUUCGUCGCUGCCCAAGGAGGUGUGGACCGACUCCCCCCCGCGCCACACACCCACGCGCACGAGCUCGGUGUCUGCACCACGACAGGUGUGGAACCCACGAUCCCCGCUACGAUCUGAAGUGGGCAGCACCCCUUCCGGCCACAAGCGCGGGGCGCGGUUCCCGGUGACCCCGGAGCUCCGUACAGCUCCACCUAAACGCAAGGAGCAGACCUUGCAAGAACCCGCUCCGUUCGUCAGUUGUGUGACACCUGUUUUAAGGCACUGAGUCAAGUCACCUUCACCGCUAGGAAUGUGCAAGAACAACUCCGACCGACAGACGUACUUACCCACAGUCACUGCUGCCCAGUGGAAGUUCCUAACCCAACUACAACACAUGCACCCAUCCCGUGGAGCGAGCCGGGCCGCUUUCUGACACCUAAAGCACACCGAGACCGGGGAAGCGCACAACAAUACUACCUACACGGCUCGGCACAGCAGAGCUUUGAGACCGUUUGGAGAAUGCAAAGAAAAAGUCUUUAGAAAACUUGUGUAGAAAAGGAGCCUUCUGGCAACAUCUGACGGAAAUCCUCACAUGGCUAGAAAUCACUGGGACAUGCCAAAGGAAGUGAGAUUGCCUCCCCAAAGUCAAUCCAUCCGGGCUCAUGGAUGGGGAGAACUCCUUCAUGAGACUCACGGCAAAAUUCAUUCAACUUCUGGUUUAGAAUGCUCAAGUAUCUGCGUACUACUCUUGAGAGUCAAGAAAGUCAGUAUGGUACAACAGAAAGAGCACUGAGCUGUAAGUCAGGUGAGUAGGAUUUUUGUACCAGCUAUGCCAUGAUUUUUGGCAAGCUACAUUGGCAUCGCUGGGCCUCAGUCUCCUGCCUCUAAAAUAUGGAGCUUCUUUCUUAAGUUUAUCAUCUCUCGUUCCCUUCUACUAAAAUGUAGAGUCUUUGUUCAUUGUGUAUGCUCAGCACUGAAAACAGUAAGAAUCGCACCUUAAGCCAACAAUAAAUAGUAGUUGCAUUUUGGGGCCCCCUUUAAUUCAGAUACUACUUUUAUGUAGGAAAUACUAUAAAAUUAAGAGAAUCAAAAGGAAGAAUUUUUGAAGUACUUACAAUCCUCCUACCCAGAGAUAAUCACUAUUAAUAUUUGCAUAUAGUUUUCACUGUUUUAGGUGUAUAUUUUAAUCUGUUUAUGAAAUAAUUUGAGACUCUACAAUAGUACACUACUAAUUAUACAUUGUCAAAACUGUGAACAGUACCUUACUCAUUUACUUACAUGUACCUUAGCUUAUAUUUAAAGCAAUGAAAGUCAAUUUGUUUAACUGUACUUUAGGUUUCAGAGUUUCUAGUAAUUUAGAUAACUUCAAACCAUUGUUGAAUCAUCAUUUAAAAUCAUCACAUACUGAAAUAACUUAUAUAAUUCAGUCCGCAAGAUGAGAAGUUUUGUCAUUAUUAAGAGCCACUGUUCCCUUUUCCAUGCAUUCAACAAACAGUUACUGAGCACUUACACUGCUCAGGGAAGCACUAUUGUAGGGACUGCAGACAAAUGCAUGGACAAAACAGACAAAAAGCCCCUCCCUUCAUGGCAAUUACAUUCUAACACACAUCCCUGUUUCAAAGAGUACACAAUGAACUUGGGGAAUUUCCUAAAAGUUAGGAAGUUAGAAAAUAACAUCUCUACUUUAUAUCUAAAGUUCCUUUAUUAGGAGGAAGUUUACUCACCCAAUGUUUAAAGACCUCUUAUCUUGCUCUUGAAGUGAUUAUCUUACUAAUACAAAAUAGCAGCUAAUAUUUAUUAAGUGUGCAUCUUUUGCUGGGUAUGCCGCUGUAUAUAGUUCAUACACAUUAUCUGAAUGAAUUCUGUAAGGUAAGUACUGUUAUUAUUCCCAUUCACAGAUGAAAGCACUGAGGCCAGCGGGGUUAAGUAACUUAUCCAAGGUUACAGGAGCUAGAAUUCAAAUACCUGGCAGCUUGACUUCAGGGCCAGGAUUUCAGCCACCGUGUGUGACCAAUGGGUCAUCCUUUGUUAACCAACAUUCUCAGAGUUACCAUCUCACUCCCAUGAACUGCAAAAUUUUUCUGUAAAUAUUUCCAUAUAGUCCCCAUUGAGACUGUAUGCAUAAUAUACACCCUAGUCUCAGAGUAGACUAUAUGAAGGGUAUAAGAAUUCUUCAAGAUUCUAAAUUAAGAAUAUGUCAUAUAUGUAUAUGUGUCAUGUGUGUUUCUAUGUGUAGACGCACACAUACAACAUAAGAACAAGGAAUGACUUCCCCAAACAACCUACCUUUCCUUUAAUGAUCUUUCUAUGGGUGAUACAAAGAAGGCCUAAAUAGACAGUCAAAAUCAGGAAGUGAGUCAUAACAUUAUUCUUAGCAAGAUUUUGGAAUGCCAUAGACUAACCCAACACGUUGUAAAACUGAUAAGAGUAAAAACAGAUUAACAAUAGGACUGAUCAAAUGAAAUUCACUGAUUUCUGGGAAAGAAAACAGAAAUAUUUGUAAUGAAAUCUGAUAUACCUCAGAUCAUACGAAUUCUAAAGGUGACCCUAAAGCCUAAGUAUUAAGGAAUAACUGAAGAAGUACCUAAAAGCUUCUGGUUGAUUCUCCUGAUUACAAGAUGCUCAAACAGUAACAAGAGUCUUAGAUCAAGCAAAGAUUUUCUUCCACAUAAACAUAUAGAGUUCAUGUCAGGCUUAAAAUAUCAGCAUUGCCUUUGACUCCUUCUACUCUGGGGAGCUUGAGCCAUCUCUUUAAACCUGCCGGUCCCCACCAAGCACACGCAUGUAUUCUUGUGUGUACUCACUGAAUCGAAGAUACACUGAUUAUAAAGUGUACCAAUAAGGAAAAACACCUGCCAAUUAACUGAUGGUGCAUUGUCAAUUGUAAGAGCAUCCUGAUAUCAAAGCUUUAAAAAUGUGAAAACAAAGGCAUCUCAGAAUCAAUGAAAUAUGGUAUAAACUGCUGUUUAAAGGCUGCUACCUUGCCACCUUGCCAUCCCUGGUUAGCUAAGUUCUCGUGUCUAUCUGUAAUGUGGUCCAGGGGACAGAGGACUGCAGCUCUUCUGUUUUGCUGCUUUUUGUUAUCUUUACUGUUGUUACCUUUCUCUCUGCUGCCAGUAUCAAGAUGAGUAGCUGCCACUCCCAGACUCCUCACCCCAGCCCACAUUCAAUCUAUCCCAAAAUGGACUGUCCUCUUCUACCACACUUGUUCUGACCAGUCAAGAGGAAGCAGGCGUUUUGAACAGCAGCCCUCAUCCCUCCCUCCUCCACAUCUCCAUUUCAGCAGAAACUAUUAAAUAAGUCUUAUAAAAAGAAAAAUUAUACUUCUGAAGGUGACCUAGUUGGGACCUGAGAUCCUCUUGUUGUGAAACUACUGAAGAUCUGCUCUCUGAUCCUUCCUCUGGAUGUGUUGAAUUCAGUGGGGUGAAAGUUCUGGACCAGAACUGAGUAAUGUAGCCAGUGUGAAGAAGAAACAUUGAGCCAGAGAGGACCAACAGUAGACUGGGACACUGUUUUGACCAUCGAUAAUAUAUGUUACACUGUAUCCAUUCCAUUAACUGCAAUAAAUCUCCUUUUCCUUGAAGGGCAAUAAUGUUGGGAGAUUACUUCUGGUUCCAACAAGCAUACAGAGAGAGCCACUCUACACAGUCUAGGAAGAGAAACAAGUUUUUUAAAUAGAGGUCUCACAAACAGCCAGAAACCUGGACACACUCUCAAAUCCAUUUUUAUUGCCUUAGUCAUGAAUAAUGUAAUAUUCUAGCCAGCUUUCCUGCCUCUUCUAUCUUACAAACCAUCCAAUAUUCAGAGCCAAAUGAAACUUCCUAAACCUCAUUAACAGCCAUAU